AAACCCAGUGUGACUCGUCACACUAUCAUUAACUGAAUCCAUAGGUUAAUGAGGCGAACCGGGGGAACUGAAACAUCUAAGUACCCCGAGGAAAAGAAAUCAACCGAGAUUCCCCCAGUAGCGGCGAGCGAACGGGGAGGAGCCCAGAGCCUGAAUCAGCAUGUGUGUUAGUGGAAGCGUCUGGAAAGGCGCGCGAUACAGGGUGACAGCCCCGUACACAAAAGCGCAUGUGCUGUGAGCUCGAUGAGUAGGGCGGGACACGUGGUAUCCUGUCUGAAUAUGGGGGGACCAUCCUCCAAGGCUAAAUACUCCUGACUGACCGAUAGUGAACCAGUACCGUGAGGGAAAGGCGAAAAGAACCCCGGCGAGGGGAGUGAAAAAGAACCUGAAACCGUGU
rnacentral:rRNA from 1 species